UGGGGAAUCUUGCGCAAUGGGCGAAAGCCUGACGCAGCGACGCCGCGUGAGUGAUGAAGGCCUUAGGGUUGUAAAGCUCUGUGGAGAGGGACGAAUAAGGCGUGGUGAAUAGCCACGUCGAUGACGGUACCUCUUUAGCAAGCACCGGCUAACUCUGUGCCAGCAGCCGCGGUAAGACAGAGGGUGCAAACGUUGUUCGGAAUUACUGGGCGUAAAGCGCGUGUAGGCGGCCGAGUAAGUCGGGUGUGAAAGCCCAGGGCUCAACCCUGGAAGUGCACUCGAAACUGCACGGCUGGAGUCUCGGAGAGGGAAGCGGAAUUCUGGGUGUAGAGGUGAAAUUCGUAGAUAUCCAGAGGAACACCAGCGGCGAAGGCGGCUUCCUGGACGAGUACUGACGCUGAGACGCGAAAGCAUGGGGAGCAAACAGGAUUAGAUACCCGCGUAGUCC
rnacentral:rRNA from 1 species